AAAAAAAAAUCAGAUAGACCUUGAAACGGUCGUCUUCUUACUUACGAAGGAUCUGUGACUCCGAAAUCUUAAAUCCAUGGUGAAAAUCGAAGUUCUACGACAUAUAUUUGCGAAAGACAACCUCGUAAUCAAGUUCAGAUCCUAACAUGCAGCUGAAGAGUUUCUUAUAUCUGCUCUGUUUUGAAAGAAAUCGGAAGGACAUCGUCCUAAUUUUUACGGAGAGACUUUAAGAGAUGCGAAGGUUCGAACAAAGAGGGGAAAGAAACACUUACUGAAGACAAUCGAGAGAAGAGCUUCCUUUGCUUCCACAUUUUCAUCGAUUGAAGAUCCUAGUGUAGAGCUUCGGAAGAGAAGCAACUGCUGUUGACGGAGCUGUAAAGUCUGAGACAGCAGCAGCAAACAUGGAGACCUUAGAUCAAAUCCAUGAAACAGAGGAUUGAAGGAGCAGAGAAGAAACAGAGACAGAUGAUGUCUUUCUUGGCUAUAGCGAUGCAGAGUCAUUCUCUGUAUCAGUUUCUCAAGCAGAGAGAUAUGAGACUUAAGGAUCUUGAGGCGGAGGAAGAAGAGAGAGGAAGAGGUUCUUCCGUGUCCGAACUGGAAGCUCUUGCUUUGGAGAUGCAAGGCUAUGGAAAAAGAGGAAUGUGAAGGAAGAAAAGGAUAUGUUGAUCUGCAUGAUGAUGACGACAUUCCAAGUCGAACCAAAAGGACAGGAGGAGAAGGCCAAUCAGACGUGCAGUUAAAGGUUUAGAGACAAAACUUUAUUCAACUGAAGGGCAUGUGACAGAGACAUAACGACAAAGCAAUAAGAACCCAAGUUGAAGUUGCAGAACCUCUGUCCAAACUUGGUCUCGAGUUCACAAUCUUUGGCAUAUACGAUCUUCUUCUCAGGGUGUUACCGGAUAUCCAGACAAACAAAACAUCUUCAAAAUAUAAAAGAUAAGUUAUUCUCAGAAAGUGUGUCUUUUUUAGAUUUUUUGAGACAUUUUUUGUUAUUUCACUGUAGUGAGUUGACUUAAUAGAUACAAUUCAUAUUCAGGUCUUGCACUGAAAGGUUUAGAGACAGAAGCUUUAAAGUACAUGGGACAGGAGGUAGAUGGUCAAUAGCUCUUGGUGAAGGUGCCAGCUUCGAACUGCUACGAACCUAAUCUGUUUAGGAUGAUAUGAAGCAUUGUCGAUAGUAAUAUAUUCUUGGUGCAGUCUGUUGAUGAGGUCGAGCAAUUAAGGUUUAGAGGCAGAAGCUUUAUUCAAUUUCAGGACAUGGGAGAGAGACAUGACUGCUUAGCAAUAGGAACCGAAGCAGAAUGAAGAAUGUCGGUUAAUUUGCCCCAAAUGCAGCAAGGUAGCCUCACAUCACUUAUGCGCAAUAUAUAAAUAAAGGCAUGGUUGGUAGUGCGAAAUGCUCCUCCAGCAGGUCUAACAUGGAAGUUUCGGACAUUGCGCCAUGCUCCAACAGGAAGAAGCCUUCCUUUACUCUCAAAGUAAGUUUUUUGC